CACCUGGAGCCCCACUGACACCCAACAGAGGGCACUAUGAGGUCAGAGACACCCAGGAAUGUCUAGUCUUCUGGCCCCACCCCUCCCUCCAGGCCAGGCCACAAGGGCUGAGCCAAGGGACAGGAAUGGAGGCACUUCCACCCCAGGCAUGCACACAGCAGCCAACUGGCUCAUCCCAGUGGACAUGCCACAGGCUCACCACGCUGGCCAGAGGCCAAGACAUUCCAGCCAAACUGGGUGGAGUUUCAGGUUCAAAGCAAGAAGGCUGCAUGGCCGAUCUUUCUCCCGGGCCAGGCCCGCCAGGGAGACACCAGCAUGAGGGUCUUUUCCAGUGAGUCGUCUCUUCACGUCAUUGCAUCAAAUGACCAAAGUACUGGAGCUUCAGCUUCAGCAUCUGUCCUUCGUGAAUAUUCGCGGGUGAUUUCCUUUAGGACUGACUGGUUUGAUCUUGCUGUUCAGGGGAUUCUCAAGGGUCUUCUCCAGCACCACAGUUUGAAAUCAUCAGUUCUCCUGGAGAAGAUGACAAAAGUGCUGCCACAAACAUUCGUGGAGGGGAUUCACAUGCACCCAUCCCCAGGAGUGGAGGUAUGGUUUCACCUUUCAGGAAGCACAAGACCGUUCCACACCCGCACCAUCUGCAUCCCCACCAGCAGUGUGGGUGCCCCGACUCCCCAAAUCUUUGCCCACACUUGUUGCUGUCGGUGUUUUUACUAUGCACUGUGGCCGCUGCACGAGAGGAACAGGGGCCUGGGCGCCAAGCCCUCUCCCCUCUGACCUGCCAGUCCCUAUCCCAGGCCUCCAGGCCAACGUGAAGGCAAUGGGGCACAGGUGUCCCAGCAUCCAGCCGUGACUGCCCAGCACUUGCUCAGCACAGGACUCAGGACACUAAAUAACAAACUGAGG
ensembl:lncRNA